CCUACGGGAGGCAGCAGUGGGGAAUAUUGGGCAAUGGAGGCAACUCUGACCCAACAACGCCGCGUGAAUGAUGAAGGUCUUCGGAUUGUAAAGUUCUUUUCUAAGGGAAGAAGAAAGUGACGGUACCUUAGGAAUAAGCCUCGGCUAACUACGUGCCAGCAGCCGCGGUAAUACGUAGGAGGCAAGCGUUAUCCGGAAUGACUGGGCGUAAAGGGUGCGUAGGUGGGUUGACAAGUUAGUAGCGCAACUCCGGAGCUCAACUUCGGAACUACUACUAAAACUGUUGGACUUGAGUGCAGGAGGGGCAAUCGGAAUUCCUAGUGUAGCGGUGGAAUGCGUAGAUAUUAGGAGGAACACCAGUGGCGAAGGCGGAUUGCUGGACUGUAACUGACACUGAGGCACGAAAGCGUGGGGAGCAAACAGGAUUAGAUACCCCUGUAGUC
rnacentral:rRNA from 1 species